CUACGUGCCAGCAGCCGCGGUAAUACGGAAGGUCCGGGCGUUAUCCGGAUUUAUUGGGUUUAAAGGGAGCGUAGGCCGUGGAUUAAGCGUGUUGUGAAAUGCAGGUGCUCAACGUCUGCACUGCAGCGCGAAYUGGUUCACUUGAGUGUGCACAACGCAGGCGGAAUUCYGUCGUGUAGCGGUGAAAUGCUUAGAUAUGACGAAGAACUCCGAUUGCGAAGGCAGCUUACGGGAGCACAACUGACGCUGAAGCUCGAAGGUGCGGGUAUCAAACAGGAUUAGAUACCCUGGUAGUCCGCACAGUAAACGAUGGAUGCCCGUUGUUAGUUCACUUAUGAAUUAGCGACCAAGCGAAAGCAUUAAGCAUCCCACCUGGGGAGUACGCCGGCAACGGUGAAACUCAAAGGAAUUGACGGGGGCCCGCACAAGCGGAGGAACAUGUGGUUUAAUUCGAUGAUACGCGAGGAACCUUACCCGGGCUUGAA
rnacentral:rRNA from 1 species